rnacentral:rRNA from 1 species
UACGUAGGGAGCAAGCGUUAUCCGGAUUCAUUGGGCGUAAAGCGCGCGUAGGCGGCCAUGCAAGCAAAACCUCUAAUCCGAGGGCUCAACCCCCGGCCGGGUUUUGAACUGCAUGGCUCGAGUUGGGUAGAGGCAAGCGGAAUUCCCGGUGUAGCGGUGAAAUGCGCAGAUAUCGGGAAGAACACCGAUGGCGAAGGCAGCUUGCUGGGCCUUGACUGACGCUGAGGUGCGAAAGCGUGGGGAGC